rnacentral:rRNA from 1 species
UACGUAGGGUGCGAGCGUUGUCCGGAAUUACUGGGCGUAAAGAGCUCGUAGGUGGUUUGUCGCGUUGUCCGUGAAAACUCACAACUCAAUUGUGGGCGUGCGGGCGAUACGGGCAGACUGGAGUACUGCAGGGGAGACUGGAAUUCCUGGUGUAGCGGUGAAAUGCGCAGAUAUCAGGAGGAACACCGAUGGCGAAGGCAGGUCUCUGGGCAUUAACUGACGCUUGGAGGAG